GAGUUUGAUCAUGGCUCAGGACGAACGCGGCGGCGUGCCUAAUACAUGCAAGUCGAACGCUUCUUUCCUCCCGAGUGCUUGCACUCAAUUGGAAAGAGGAGUGGCGGACGGGUGAGUAACACGUGGGUAACCUACCCAUCAGAGGGGGAUAACACUUGGAAACAGGUGCUAAUACCGCAUAACAGUUUAUGCCGCAUGGCAUAAGAGUGAAAGGCGCUUUCGGGUGUCGCUGAUGGAUGGACCCGCGGUGCAUUAGCUAGUUGGUGAGGUAACGGCUCACCAAGGCCACGAUGCAUAGCCGACCUGAGAGGGUGAUCGGCCACACUGGGACUGAGACACGGCCCAGACUCCUACGGGAGGCAGCAGUAGGGAAUCUUCGGCAAUGGACGAAAGUCUGACCGAGCAACGCCGCGUGAGUGAAGAAGGUUUUCGGAUCGUAAAACUCUGUUGUUAGAGAAGAACAAGGACGUUAGUAACUGAAC
rnacentral:rRNA from 1 species